rnacentral:rRNA from 1 species
CAUGCAGUCGAACGAUGACUUUUGUGCUUGCACAGAAUGAUUAGUGGCGAACGGGUGAGUAACACGUGAGUAACCUGCCCCUGACUCUGGGAUAAGCCUGGGAAACUGGGUCUAAUACUGGAUAUGCACCGUAGACCGCAUGGUUUUUGGUGGAAAGAAUUUUGGUCAGGGAUGGACUCGCGGCCUAUCAGCUUGUUGGUGAGGUAAUGGCUCACCAAGGCGACGACGGGUAGCCGGCCUGAGAGGGUGACCGGCCACACUGGGACUGAGACACGGCCCAGACUCCUACGGGAGGCAGCAGUGGGGAAUAUUGCACAAUGGGCGAAAGCCUGAUGCAGCGACGCCGCGUGAGGGAUGACGGCCUUCGGGUUGUAAACCUCUUUCAGUAGGGAAGAAGCGAAAGUGACGGUACCUGCAGAAGAAGCGCCGGCUAACUACGUGCCAGCAGCCGCGGUAAUACGUAGGGCGCAAGCGUUAUCCGGAAUUAUUGGGCGUAAAGAGCUCGUAGGCGGUUUGUCGCGUCUGCCGUGAAAGUCCGAGGCUCAACUUCGGAUCUGCGGUGGGUACGGGCAGACUAGAGUGAUGUAGGGGAGACUGGAAUUCCUGGUGUAGCGGUGAAAUGCGCAGAUAUCAGGAGGAACACCGAUGGCGAAGGCAGGUCUCUGGGCAUCUACUGACGCUGAGGAGCGAAAGCAUGGGGAGCGAACAGGAUUAGAUACCCUGGUAGUCCAUGCCGUAAACGUUGGGCACUAGGUGUGGG